CCGGCUCCGCCCGCUGCACGGAGGGGACGAGCCGGGCACGGCCCGCGGGCCUUCCGGAGCGGGCCGGCAGGACCCAGGGCGGGGCUGGUCCGGCUCUCCCCUGGCAGGGCACAGCUGGCGCUUUCCCCUUCCCCGCACACAGGGUGGGACUCAGAGGCCCCUGGGCUGCUGAGCUGGGGCCAGCACCACCUGUGCCCCCCCCGGCUGGCACCAGCACCGGGCACGACCCCCCCAGCAGAGACUUGGUGCCCGCACGUCCCGGGUGCUGCUCCCAGGAGGGCGAGGGGCCGCGGGGUUGCACCCGCCUGCGGGAGCUGUGCCAGCGCUGGCUGGAGCCCCAGCGCCGCAGCAAGGAGCGCAUCCUGGAGCUGGCGGUGCUGGGGCAGUUCCUGGCCGUCCUGCCCCGGGAGAUGCGGAGCUGGGAGCGGGCGUGCAGCGGGAGCCCUGCGCCGAGCCGGUGGUCCUGGCUGAGGGGUUUCGUGCGGGGCGAGCGGAGGAGGAGAAGCUCCAGGCACCGUCCCCAUCUCCAUGUGUCUGGGAACGCUCCCUCCCCCGGCUCUCUCCCAGUCCCUGGUCACUGUAACACAUUUGCCUUGUCCCCAGGUCCCCGUGCGUGUCAAGGUUGAGGAAAUGUCAUGGGACAAGAUGGUACCCACUGUGGCACUGUGGGAACAUCUCAAAUCCUGCCUGGCACGGCCACAGCCCCUUCAUGUGGCCAUGCCCCUGAAGGAUGAAACCACAGAGCCUGACGGCGAGCCCCUUUGGGUCCCCAGGGAGGACCCCCUGCUGCAGCAGGACUCAGGUGCAGGGACCCUGAGCAGAGCUGAGGAAGAGCUUGUAAACUUAGAGCUGCAGAGGACUUCACAGCAGCUGCUGCCUCCCCUGCUUUCUCUGGAUCAAAGGCAUAAGAUGAAGCAUGGCAGGUGUUCCCAGGAAUUCCCAUAUAGGACCGUGGAACAGGACUGCCACGAGCGGUCUCUUGCAUCUGUGCACAGGUCAAAUUCCUGGAUCCCUUGGAGGACCAGGGGGAGAUCCCUUUCAUCCAGGGAUAUAGUGAGAGGGAGCAGUGCACACACGCAUAUAAACCCUGCUGAGAGCAGACGAGCGGCCAGUUAGCACAAAGGACCUGGGACGGUGUGGGGGGAAACGACUCAUCCAAAGGAGCUGGAACCAGGUAGGGUGUUUGCUGACAGACGGUCAGUCCCUGGCAGAACACAGCUCUCCCCAGGGACAGUUCCCCGCCCCUCCUCUUAGCCCGAAUGCAGCUUUCCCAGCCCCUUUCCCCCCCGCCAUGCAUCUUGUGCUCAAGUUAGUCGGGUGAGAAGGUUCACACAGAUUGUAACCCCAUGACACCCACUCCAAAUGCUACCACCACAGCUAAUGAGUGAAUGCUACCACCCAUUCACAGGGGUGUGAAUAGACCACAGCAUCAGGACACAGACAGAAGGAAACAUUUCAUUCAGCAUUACUAGCACAACUAGCAGUACAGAUGGCUGGACCAUCCAAGUGGCAGGGAAUAAAGUCUCUUUGGUUCAUACUCUCUUUCAAACCUCCAGUGUCCCCGGAUGUUGCCAACAGGGCAACUGACCUGGGAGAAACCAGUGUCCCUGCAGGGCAGCCCCAAGCUCACCCGUCUCCUCCAUCCCUGCUGCAGCCUGUUACUCCACGACAACCCGUUUAAGACACCAUUGAGAGAACAUUCCCAUCCCCACUGCUGUGCCUGGAGAAGGGGUUGUGGGGGCAUUUCAGGCCAGGUGCAACCAGACCCCCCCCGCCCCCCCCUUGAGGUCACAGGCCGUGGGGAGAAGCUGGGAGAUGAGAGCUAGCAGGAACGGACCAGUAUC